AUUUCAUCCAUUCAUGAGAGUUCCUGAAUGGAAUAAACGUUUUAUUUUGUAUGAAAACAUCGUUACUUACACAAUUCAAUUUCAUUUUUCCGGUUAUGUUAUCAAAUAAGGGUGAUGCUCUUUGUUUGAUGAAAGUACUUUACCUAAAUCCGUAAAGAAUUUAAUGGUGUAAUGGAAGUUAAUGGUUAAUAGUAGUAGUACUUAGAAGUCUAUUAGUAGAAAAGAAUUCUGGUAAUUUAACCAGGUUCCUAAACAAGUAAAAGCAUAACGUGAGCAAUACCGUUCAAGCAACACCGUGAGCAGAAAUGAGAAUAUUCGUUUGAAAUAGUGAAUAAUUCCUCAUUCCUGAAGAAAUUGUGUAGAAGAUGUUUCAUCAUUAGUUAUGGUGAAUAAAAGUAAAAUGCUCAACAUGAAUAAUCCGAAGGAUCUUGAGAUUAUAAGAAAUAAUGCUUUUAAGUGACAAUGAGGACGAUGAGGACAUUAUUUUAGAUGAAAGCAUUACAGAUGAAGAAGAGAGAAUUUCAGAAAGAGAAGGCGAUUCAGAAUCGAAGAUAAGUGCAGAGAGCAAUUCUGAAGAGGAAAAUAAUGAUGAUAAUUCUUCUGAAGUGUAUACAGCUCAUCAAAUGAAAAAAGUCAUCGAUUCUUGGACAUGGCAUAAAGAACCAUUUAAGAAAACUAAACGAGCGCCUCGUAACAUAUGUGUUCAUGUUCCUGGAGUCAUCAGUGAAGCUAAAUAUCUAACAGAUAUUUUGGAUAGAUGGAAAUGCCUCUUUAAUGAUAGUAUGAUAAAAAUCAUCGCAGAAGAUACGAAUAAGUUUAUUUCUUCUGUGAGGUCCUAAUUAUUCUCGUAUAAGGGACAUCAGAGACACAGGUGGUUAAGAAAUAAAAGCUCUUUUGGGCUUACUUUACUUAGCUGGUAUUUAUCAUGGUAACAGAGUUAAGGAACUGUGGAUGAUUUUAAAGUAGUAAUGAACUUAAAGAGAUUUUUGUUUUUACUAAGAGCUUUACGGUUUGAUGACAUAAACACAAGAGCAGAAUGAAGAGGAGUCGACUGCUUGGCUCCAUUAAAAAACAUUUUUGAAAAGUUUGUCUCUAAUUGCCAGAAGUGCUAUUCACUUGGAGAGAAUGUCACAAUAGAUGAGAAAUUGGAAGGAUUUCGAGGAAGAUGUGGUUUCCUUCAAUACAUUCCUAAAAAACCGAACAAAUAUGACAUAAAAAUUUAUGCCUUGGUAGACGCUCGUAUGUUUUACACAUACAAUAUGGAAAUUUAUGCUGGAGCGCAGCCAGAUGGUCCUUUUUGCAUAAGCAACAAACCACAAGAUGUUGUAAAAAGGUUGAAAAAACCUAUCCAUAACACUAGAAGAAAUGUAACCGCAUACAACUGGUUUUCAAGUUUUGAGUUGGUACGAGAUCUAGAUGAAAAGAAAUUGUCAUUUGUAGGUACACAAGAAAAAAAAAUAAACCUCAAAUUCCGGAUCAGUUCAAGCUGAAGAAAACUCGGGAACCCAAUACGAGUCUUUUUGGAUUUAGAAAAAAUAUGACACUUCUCUUCUAUGUACCAAAAUGUUAUAAAAACAUCAUAUUGAUUUCAAGUUUUCAUGAUGACGUAGCAAUUGAUGAAGAUACCCAGUACAAAAAAAAAAAAAAAAAAGCCUGAGAUUAUCACAUUUUACAGUCGUACGAAAGGAGGUGUGGAUACAGUGGACAAACUUUGUACUUCCUACAAUGUUGCCAGGAACACCAGGCAUUGGCCUCUUGUAGUUUCUCUAUGCUGAAUAUAGCAGCAAUCAACAGCUACAUAAUUCAUUCAACGAAUAAUAGUGAAAAAUUACUUAGAAGGCAAUAUCUGCGAAAGCUAGCAAAUGCUCUUAUGAAGGAAAACGUUGAAAGAAGAAGCACUACCUCUCUUCAAAGUGAGCUGAAAUUAAAAUUGUUGAAACGAAAAGCAGAAUUAGGUGUUGUUGAAGAAAUGACUUCAGGGGAAAAAAGAUGCAAACCCUGCCAAAAUGACAAGCACACUAGAAUUAAGAGGUUCAGCUGUGAGAUUUGUUUAAAAUUCAUUUGUCUAGAGCACUGUAAACAUAUUUGUUCAGACUGCAGCGAUGCAAUAAAGUGAUUAUGAAAUUGA